AGAGUUUGAUCAUGGCUCAGGAUGAACGCUGUCGGUAUGCCUAAUACAUGCAAGUCGAGCGAGGAACUUGUUCCUAGCGGCGAACGGGUGAGUAACACGUAGGUAAUCUGCCCUCAAGUCGAGGAUACCGUUUGGAAACGAACGUUAAUACUGGAUAGGACAAUAUAUAGCGCAUGCUAAAUUGUUUAAAGGUUACGCUU
rnacentral:rRNA from 1 species